rnacentral:rRNA from 1 species
AUCCUUCGGGUGAAAGAAUAAUUGGAAAGCGGCGGACGGGUUAGUAACGCGUGGGAAUAUACCCAGUUCUAAGGAAUAGCCACUGGAAACGGUGAGUAAUACCUUAUACGCCCUUCGGGGGAAAGAUUUAUCGGAAUUGGAUUAGCCCGCGUUAGAUUAGAUAGUUGGUGGGGUAAUGGCCUACCAAGUCUACGAUCUAUAGCUGGUUUGAGAGGAUGAUC